rnacentral:tRNA from 2 species
GGAAUUGUGCCUGAAUGUU